rnacentral:rRNA from 1 species
GCCGCGGUAAUUCCAGCUCCAAUAGCGUAUAUUAAAGUUGUUGUGGUUAAAAAGCUCGUAGUUGGAUCUCGGCGGACUGAGGGCGGUUUGCUUGCUAGUAUUACUGCCCUAUAGUCCGUAGUUUUGCCAGAGGUUUCGGGGUGCUCUUAAUCGAGUGUCCCGGGAUGCUGGCAGGUUUACUUUGAAAAAAUUAGAGUGCUCAAAGCAGGCUAUUACGCCUGAAUAUUCGUGCAUGGAAUAAUAGAAUAGGAAGUCGUUUCUAUUUUGUUGGUUUUCGGAAAUCGACUUAAUGAUUAAUAGGGACAGUCGGGGGCAUUUGUAUUCAAACGACAGAGGUGAAAUUCUUGGACCGUUUGAAGACAAACUACUGCGAAAGCAUUUGCCAAGAAUGUUUUCAUUAAUCAAGAACGAAAGUUAAAGGUUCGAAGGCGAUUAGAUACCGCCCUAGUUUUAACCAUAAACGAUGCCAGCUAGCGAUCUGCGGACGUUUUUUUUGUAGACUCCGCAGGAAGCUUCCGGGAAACCAAAGCAUUUGGGUUCCAGGGGAAGUAUGGUUGCAAAGCUGAAACUUAAAGGAAUUGACGGAAGGGCACCACCAGGAGUGGAGCCUGUGGCUUAAUUUGACUCAACACGGGAAAUCUCACCAGGCCCGGACACUGGAAGGAUUGACAGAUUGAUAGCUCUUUCUUGAUUCGGUGGGUGGUGGUGCAUGGCCGUUCUUAGUUGGUGGAGUGAUUUGUCUGGUUAAUUCCGAUAACGAACGAGACUCUGUCCUGCUAAAUAGUGUCUGCUUCUCUUUUGAGCAGACAAUUCUUCUUAGAGGGACUGGCGACUCUUAGUCGCACGAGAUUGAGCAAUAACAGGUCU